CGUGUAGGCGGCCUCUUAAGUCUGGUGUGAAAGCCCGGGGCUUACCCCCGGAAGUGCACUGGAAACUGGGAGGCUAGAGUACCGGAGAGGAGGGUGGAAUUCCUGGUGUAGCGGUGAAAUGCGUAGAUAUCAGGAGGAACACCGGUGGCGAAGGCGGCCCUCUGGACGGAUACUGACGCUGAGACGCGAAAGCGUGGGGAGCGAAACAGGAUUAGAUACCCUGGUAGUCCACGCCGUAAACGAUGGGCACUAGGUGUUCGGGGUAUUGACCCCCUGAGUGCCGCAGCUAACGCAUUAAGUGCCCCGCCUGGGGACUACGGCCGCAAGGUUAAA
rnacentral:rRNA from 1 species